rnacentral:rRNA from 2 species
UUAAGCGACUAAGCGUACACGGUGGAUGCCCUGGCAGUCAGAGGCGAUGAAGGACGUGCUAAUCUGCGAUAAGCGUCGGUGAGGUGAUAUGAACCGUUAUAACCGGCGAUUUCCGAAUGGGGAAACCCAGUGUGUUUCGACACACUAUCAUUAACUGAAUCCAUAGGUUAAUGAGGCGAACCGGGGGAACUGAAACAUCUAAGUACCCCGAGGAAAAGAAAUCAACCGAGAUUCCCCCAGUAGCGGCGAGCGAACGGGGAGGAGCCCAGAGCCUGAAUCAGUGUGUGUGUUAGUGGAAGCGUCUGGAAAGGCGUGCGAUACAGGGUGACAGCCUCGUACACAAAAAUGCACAUAUUGUGAGCUCGAUGAGUAGGGCGGGACACGUGGUAUCCUGUCUGAAUAUGGGGGGACCAUCCUCCAAGGCUAAAUACUCCUGACUGACCGAUAGUGAACCAGUACCGUGAGGGAAAGGCGAAAAGAACCCCGGCGAGGGGAGUGAAAAAGAACCUGAAACCGUGUACGUACAAGCAGUGGGAGCCUCUUAAUGGGGUGACUGCGUACCUUUUGUAUAAUGGGUCAGCGACUUAUAUUCUGUAGCAAGGUUAACCGAAUAGGGGAGCCGAAGGGAAACCGAGUCUUAACUGGGCGUUAAGUUGCAGGGUAUAGACCCGAAACCCGGUGAUCUAGCCAUGGGCAGGUUGAAGGUUGGGUAACACUAACUGGAGGACCGAACCGACUAAUGUUGAAAAAUUAGCGGAUGACUUGUGGCUGGGGGUGAAAGGCCAAUCAAACCGGGAGAUAGCUGGUUCUCCCCGAAAGCUAUUUAGGUAGCGCCUCGUGAAUUCAUCUCCGGGGGUAGAGCACUGUUUCGGCAAGGGGGUCAUCCCGACUUACCAACCCGAUGCAAACUGCGAAUACCGGAGAAUGUUAUCACGGGAGACACACGGCGGGUGCUAACGUCCGUCGUGAAGAGGGAAACAACCCAGACCGCCAGCUAAGGUCCCAAAGUCAUGGUUAAGUGGGAAACGAUGUGGGAAGGCCCAGACAGCCAGGAUGUUGGCUUAGAAGCAGCCAUCAUUUAAAGAAAGCGUAAUAGCUCACUGGUCGAGUCGGCCUGCGCGGAAGAUGUAACGGGGCUAAACCAUGCACCGAAGCUGCGGCAGCGACACUAUGUGUUGUUGGGUAGGGGAGCGUUCUGUAAGCCUGUGAAGGUGGCCUGUGAGGGUUGCUGGAGGUAUCAGAAGUGCGAAUGCUGACAUAAGUAACGAUAAAGCGGGUGAAAAGCCCGCUCGCCGGAAGACCAAGGGUUCCUGUCCAACGUUAAUCGGGGCAGGGUGAGUCGACCCCUAAGGCGAGGCCGAAAGGCGUAGUCGAUGGGAAACAGGUUAAUAUUCCUGUACUUGGUGUUACUGCGAAGGGGGGACGGAGAAGGCUAUGUUGGCCGGGCGACGGUUGUCCCGGUUUAAGCGUGUAGGCUGGUUUUCCAGGCAAAUCCGGAAAACCAAGGCUGAGGCGUGAUGACGAGGCACUACGGUGCUGAAGUGACAAAUGCCCUGCUUCCAGGAAAAGCCUCUAAGCAUCAGGUAACAUCAAAUCGUACCCAAAACCGACACAGGUGGUCAGGUAGAGAAUACCAAGGCGCUUGAGAGAACUCGGGUGAAGGAACUAGGCAAAAUGGUGCCGUAACUUCGGGAGAAGGCACGCUGAUAUGUAGGUGAAGCGACUCGCUCGUGGAGCUGAAAUCAGUCGAAGAUACCAGCUGGCUGCAACUGUUUAUUAAAAACACAGCACUGUGCAAACACGAAAGUGGACGUAUACGGUGUGACGCCUGCCCGGUGCCGGAAGGUUAAUUGAUGGGGUUAGCGGUAACGCGAAGCUCUUGAUCGAAGCCCCGGUAAACGGCGGCCGUAACUAUAACGGUCCUAAGGUAGCGAAAUUCCUUGUCGGGUAAGUUCCGACCUGCACGAAUGGCGUAAUGAUGGCCAGGCUGUCUCCACCCGAGACUCAGUGAAAUUGAACUCGCUGUGAAGAUGCAGUGUACCCGCAGCAAGACGGAAAGACCCCGUGAACCUUUACUAUAGCUUGACACUGAACAUUGAGCCUUGAUGUGUAGGAUAGGUGGGAGGCUUUGAAGUGUGGACGCCAGUCUGCAUGGAGCCGACCUUGAAAUACCACCCUUUAAUGUUUGAUGUUCUAACGUUGGCCCGUAAUCCGGGUUGCGGACAGUGUCUGGUGGGUAGUUUGACUGGGGCGGUCUCCUCCUAAAGAGUAACGGAGGAGCACGAAGGUUGGCUAAUCCUGGUCGGACAUCAGGAGGUUAGUGCAAUGGCAUAAGCCAGCUUGACUGCGAGCGUGACGGCGCGAGCAGGUGCGAAAGCAGGUCAUAGUGAUCCGGUGGUUCUGAAUGGAAGGGCCAUCGCUCAACGGAUAAAAGGUACUCCGGGGAUAACAGGCUGAUACCGCCCAAGAGUUCAUAUCGACGGCGGUGUUUGGCACCUCGAUGUCGGCUCAUCACAUCCUGGGGCUGAAGUAGGUCCCAAGGGUAUGGCUGUUCGCCAUUUAAAGUGGUACGCGAGCUGGGUUUAGAACGUCGUGAGACAGUUCGGUCCCUAUCUGCCGUGGGCGCUGGAGAACUGAGGGGGGCUGCUCCUAGUACGAGAGGACCGGAGUGGACGCAUCACUGGUGUUCGGGUUGUCAUGCCAAUGGCACUGCCCGGUAGCUAAAUGCGGAAGAGAUAAGUGCUGAAAGCAUCUAAGCACGAAACUUGCCCCGAGAUGAGUUCUCCCUGACUCCUUGAGGGUCCUGAAGGAACGUUGAAGACGACGACGUUGAUAGGCCGGGUGUGUAAGCGCAGCGAUGCGUUGAGCUAACCGGUACUAAUGAACCGUGAGGCUUAACCUU